CUUCUUUGUCGUAGAGCCUGAAAGCUUCUCGAAGUUCCUUCUCCAAUGCUUCCGCAUCCUCUUCGACGAUGAAUUUAGCAGCCAAUGUGACGAACUCUUCGAAUUCGAGGCGUCCUGAUUCUAGAAAUUGAUAACAAUUUGGCGCGGCUGACUAAUGCCUGACCUGUUCUACUUACUGUCCGCGUCGACUUCCUCGAUCAGCUCAUCCAGGAUCUUCUUGUUGAACGGUUGACCCAUUAAUCUUAGGAUGUCGGCCACCAUGUCGGUGGGAAUACUGCCACUCUUCUCCCUGUCGAAGCUGUCGAACGCUUUGCGAAGGACUAAAACAAGAUCCAAAUAUUUAUCGUUCAACUAACGUAAUUAUUCGAUUAAACGAAAUUAGUCACAUCGGUAAGAAAAGAAAGACGCGUCUUUCGCGUUUAAAGACCGUCCGCGAUGCGAUACAAAUUUAGAAUCCGAUGUUAAUGCCCUUCCGCACCCUCGCGAUUCUGGCUCGAAGCUUAUUUGGCUCGGCGCAACAUCGUUCACACUGGUUGGAACGUUUAUUUAUCGUUGUCGACCGACCGACGAUUCUCGCGAUGAAACUUUACGGUAAUUUAUUGGAUAAUUUGUUUAGUAUCUUUGGAAAAAGCUAACAAAAGGUUUCUCUUUUAUUCUUUCAUUCGUUGUUUCGCAACAUUCAUAUGUAAUUAUUUGUACUAGUUUCAUGAAUUUUCCUUGUCAUCGAACCAAAUGCAACGUUUCAAAAAUACUCUACUGUUAUUAAUAUCAUUAUUGUGGUUUCGGCAAUAUGUCCUUACGCACAUUAACAACAAUAAUAAUAAUAAUAAUAAUAUUGAUUGAAUAACGCGUAUCCACGUCGUCCACUAUAGUAACGCCAAUGUAUUAUCUUGAAGCUUUCUUUUCUCUUUUUCAGACGCGAUAAGACAAGUGUCUUCGUUUCGAAACGAUGGGUCGAACGUUGUGCGAAAAAUUUAAUGUGGGAUGUUACGAGCUUCUAUUUUUCGAUCGUCGUCGUAUCGUUUCCCGCUGGAGAAUCCUUCCUCUAUUUUUACCGAUCCGAUUCCCGGUGAUCGAAUCGUCACGCGAUACCUCCUCAUCAUACGGCUAAGACGGUUCUGUAGCUAUACAUAGGCAGCUGGCUGCCCUCGAUCGAAUGGAAGCACAAAUAAACUCCGAGAGAGCGUGGCUUCUAUGGGCGCAGAUAACUUAUCUGCCCUGUUUCUUUUUCCCCGCUACGUUUUAAUUUCUUCACCCAAACCCCUACCAUGAUGGAACACCCAGCAAAAUUCUUUUCAUUUAGAGGUAUAGGUACUGGUAUUAUAAACAUUGUUAAUACAUCCGUGUCGACAUUUAAAAAUACAUGUAAAAGAAAUUUUGGUUACAGAAGAUUAAACGAGAUUCUGGCGAUUCGACACCGCUGACGAAAGGGUUAGGAAGCCGAAAGGGAAACGACGAAACUGAGAGCUGGACUAAAUUUAGUUGCGUCCAGUAAACACGAUACGAUUUCAACGUCGACGAUUUGAAAGACCGGAAAGCCAAGAAUGGCAAGGAGAGGAGCUCGUACUACUACAUCCUGUUAAAACAGUCGUCUCUGUUCGUUACAUCUUGGAGAACUUUAAUUUUAUUUUAUGCCUAACAAAAAGAAGAAUUAUAGUACAAAAACAUAGCGACUAUCCGAGUGUUAAAAUUGAAUUUUCAUACGUUUACAUAUGUCGAUUUGUUAAUUAUAUGAAAUGUAUUGAUCAGAUAUUGUUAGUUAACAUCCAUGAAUCGGUGUUCAGUUACUGACGAUUACGUACCAGCAAUUUGUUCAGGGGGAAGUUCGUCGGCCUGUAAACACAAAACAAUAUUGACAUCGUCGAGACAUUUAAUUAACAAAUGAACAUCGACUUUAAAUAAUCCGAGAAUCUUAAAAAAAAAAAAAA